rnacentral:rRNA from 1 species
CUAGUAGCGGCGAGCGAAGCGGGAAGAGCUCAAAUUUAUAAUCUGGCACCUUCGGUGUCCGAGUUGUAAUCUCUAGAAAUGUUUUCCGCGUUGGACCGCACACAAGUCUGUUGGAAUACAGCGGCAUAGUGGUGAGACCCCCGUAUAUGGUGCGGACGCCCAGCGCUUUGUGAUACAUUUUCGAAGAGUCGAGUUGUUUGGGAAUGCAGCUCAAAUUGGGUGGUAAAUUCCAUCUAAAGCUAAAUAUUGGCGAGAGACCGAUAGCGAACAAGUACCGUGAGGGAAAGAUGAAAAGCACUUUGGAAAGAGAGUUAACAGUACGUGAAAUUGUUGGAAGGGAAACGCUUGAAGUCAGACUUGCUUGCCGAGCAAUCGGUUUGCAGGCCAGCAUCAGUUUUCCGGGAUGGAUAAUGGUAGAGAGAAGGUAGCAGUUUCGGCUGUGUUAUAGCUCUCUGCUGGAUACAUCUUGGGGGACUGAGGAACGCAGUGUGCCUUUGGCGGGGGUUUCGACCUCUUCACACUUAAGAUGCUGGUGGAAUGGCUUUAAACGACCCGUCUUGAAACACGGACCAAGGAGUCU